rnacentral:rRNA from 1 species
AACGCUAGCGGCAGGCCUAACACAUGCAAGUCGAACGGUAACAGAGAAGAGCUUGCUCUUUUGCUGACGAGUGGCGCACGGGUGCGUAACGCGUAUACAAUCUACCUUUUACAGGGGGAUAGCCUUUAGAAAUGAAGAAUAAUACCCCAUAGUAAGUAAAUUUCGCAUGGAAAUUACUUUAAAGAUUUAUCGGUAAAAGAUGAGUAUGCGUUCUAUUAGCUAGAUGGUAAGGUAACGGCUUACCAUGGCAACGAUAGAUAGGGGCCCUGAGAGGGGGAUCCCCCACACUGGUACUGAGACACGGACCAGACUCCUACGGGAGGCAGCAGUGAGGAAUAUUGGACAAUGGAGGCAACUCUGAUCCAGCCAUGCCGCGUGCAGGAAGACUGCCCUAUGGGUUGUAAACUGCUUUUAUACAGGAAGAAACCUUUCCACGUGUGGAGAGCUGACGGUACUGUAAGAAUAAGGAUCGGCUAACUCCGUGCCAGCAGCCGCGGUAAUACGGAGGAUCCAAGCGUUAUCCGGAAUCAUUGGGUUUAAAGGGUCCGUAGGUGGAUAAUUAAGUCAGAGGUGAAAGUUUGCGGCUCAACCGUAAAAUUGCCUUUGAUACUGGUUAUCUUGAAUCAUUGUGAAGUGGUUAGAAUAUGUAGUGUAGCGGUGAAAUGCAUAGAUAUUACAUAGAAUACCAAUUGCGAAGGCAGAUCACUAACAAUGUAUUGACACUGAUGGACGAAAGCGUGGGGAGCGAACGGG